UAUAAAACGUUGUAAAUGUGCAUAAAGAAUUUUGAUUUCUUAGGUAUUAGUUGAUUCUAUUUUUUAUAA
rnacentral:tRNA from 1 species